GUGGGGAAUAUUGGGCAAUGGGCGAAAGCCUGACCCAGCAACGCCGCGUGAAGGAAGAAGGUUUUCGGAUCGUAAACUUCUAUCCUUGGUGAAGAUAAUGACGGUAGCCAAGAAGGAAGCCCCGGCUAACUACGUGCCAGCAGCCGCGGUAAUACGUAGGGGGCAAGCGUUGUCCGGAAUGAUUGGGCGUAAAGGGCGCGUAGGCGGCCCGGUAAGUCUGAAGUGAAAGUCCUGCUUUUAAGGUGGGAAUUGCUUUGGAUACUGUCGGGCUUGAGUGCAGGAGAGGUAAGCGGAAUUCCCGGUGUAGCGGUGAAAUGCGUAGAGAUCGGGAGGAACACCAGUGGCGAAGGCGGCUUACUGGACUGUAACUGACGCUGAGGCGCGAAAGUGUGGGGAGCAAACAGGAUUAGAAACCCGUGUAGUCC
rnacentral:rRNA from 1 species